AAGAUUCGGAAGCACAUAUACUAAAAUUGGAAUGAUACAGAGAAGAUUAGCAUGACCCCUGCACAAAUCAAGAUUCAUAAGGAGUUAGUCAACAAUUCU
ensembl:snRNA U6 U6 spliceosomal RNA